rnacentral:lncRNA from 1 species
GAUACAGCCCAUGGUUUUCUCUUGGAAUGUGGUGCCAGGUCAGGCAUGGCUCUUUUCUCCAGUGUACGGCAUGGCAACAGCAAAGGCACCCCUGUCAAGCUUUCCAUCAGGGGAUGGCAAUGCUCCACACUCUUCUAGGGGAUUCCAUGAUCACUUAGAGAUGAGCAACUCAGGUUCCAGUAUAUCACCAGGUGUGAGCUCUCAGACACUGCCUCAGCAUUAUGCCUGCCUGCCUGCCUGCCUGCCUGCCUGCCGCCAUGCUCCCCGCCAUGAUGGUCAAGACCCUAACCUUCUGAGAUUCUAAGCCCUAAAUAAACCCUUUCUUUUAUAAUCUGCCUUGAUCAUGGUGUCCUUCCACAGCAAUAGAAAAGUAACCAAGACAGG